rnacentral:rRNA from 1 species
CCUACGGGUGGCUGCAGUGGGGAAUAUUGGACAAUGGGCGAAAGCCUGAUCCAGCCAUGCCGCGUGUGUGAAGAAGGCCUUCGGGUUGUAAAGCACUUUCAGUGGGGAAGAAAGCCUUGGGGCUAAUACCCUCGAGGAAGGACAUCACCCACAGAAGAAGCACCGGCUAACUCCGUGCCAGCAGCCGCGGUAAUACGGAGGGUGCGAGCGUUAAUCGGAAUUACUGGGCGUAAAGCGCGCGUAGGCGGUCUGAUAAGCCGGUUGUGAAAGCCCCGGGCUCAACCUGGGAACGGCAUCCGGAACUGUCAGGCUAGAGUGCAGGAGAGGAAGGUAGAAGUCCUGGUGUAGCGGUGAAAUGCGUAGAGAUCGGGAGGAAUACCAGUGGCGAAGGCGGCCUUCUGGACUGACACUGACGCUGAGGUGCGAAAGCGUGGGUAGCAAACAGGAUUAGAUACCCGGGUAGUC